UACUAGAAUAUUAGAAGUUAUGUUCUUUAAAUUUAAAAAAUUUGGCGGUGUUUUAGUCUAGUUAGAGGAACCUGUUUUAUAAACGAUAUAACACGCAUUAUUUUACUUAUUUUAGUAUAACAGCUUGUAUACCGUCAUUAUAAGAUAAUUUAGGAGAGAAUAUUAUUGAAAUCAUAUUGUUGAGUAUAUUAGAUCAAGGUGCAGCUUAUAAAUAAGUGAAUAUGGGUUACAAUAAAACUUAUUUAAUAAUGAAUUAAGUAUUUAAAUGUACUUAUGAAGGAGGAUUUAAUUGUAAGGAAAGGUGUAGUGAGAUUUUCUGAUAAAAGCUCUAAAUUAUGUACAUAUCGCCCGUCGCUCG
rnacentral:rRNA from 1 species